AGAGUUUGAUCCUGGCUCAGGAUGAACGCUGGCGGCGUGCCUAACACAUGCAAGUCGAGCGAUUCUCUUCGGAGAAGAGCGGCGGACGGGUGAGUAACGCGUGGGUAACCUGCCCUGUACACACGGAUAACAUACCGAAAGGUAUGCUAAUACGGGAUAACAUAAGAAAUUCGCAUGUUUUUCUUAUCAAAGCUCCGGCGGUACAGGAUGGACCCGCGUCUGAUUAGCUAGUUGGUGAGGUAACGGCUCACCAAGGCGACGAUCAGUAGCCGACCUGAGAGGGUGAUCGGCCACAUUGGAACUGAGACACGGUCCAAACUCCUACGGGAGGCAGCAGUGGGGAAUAUUGCACAAUGGGCGAAAGCCUGAUGCAGCAACGCCGCGUGAGCGAUGGAGGCCUUCGGGUCGUAAAGCUCUGUCCUCAAGGAAGAUAAUGACGGUACUUGAGGAGGAAGCCCCGGCUAACUACGUGCCAGCAGCCGCGGUAAUACGUAGGGGGCUAGCGUUAUCCGGAAUUACUGGGCGUAAAGGGUGCGUAGGUGGUUUCUUAAGUCAGAGGUGAAAGGCUACGGCUCAACCGUAGUAAGCCUUUGAAACUGGGAAACUUGAGUGCAGGAGAGGAGAGUGGAAUUCCUAGUGUAGCGGUGAAAUGCGUAGAUAUUAGGAGGAACACCAGUUGCGAAGGCGGCUCUCUGGACUGUAACUGACACUGAGGCACGAAAGCGUGGGGAGCAAACAGGAUUAGAUACCCUGGUAGUCCACGCCGUAAACGAUGAGUACUAGCUGUCGGAGGUAUCGACUCCUUCUGUGCCGGAGUUAACACAAUAAGUAAUCCACCUGGGGAGUACGGCCGCAAGGUUGAAACUCAAAGGA
rnacentral:rRNA from 1 species